AAGUGGCGAACGGGUGAGUAACACGUGAGUAACCUGCCCACAACUUUGGGAUAACGCUAGGAAACUGGUGCUAAUACUGGAUAUGUGCUCCUGCUGCAUGGUGGGGGUUGGGAAAGCUCCGGCGGUUGUGGAUGGACUCGCGGCCUAUCAGCUUGUUGGUGGGGUAGUGGCCUACCAAGGCGGCGACGGGUAGCCGGCCUGAGAGGGUGACCGGCCACAUUGGGACUGAGAUACGGCCCAG
rnacentral:rRNA from 1 species